AGAAGCAACUUCGCGUUGCGGCACAGGCUGAGCCUCUGCCCAGCCCCAGCAGUGGACGAAAGCCCCCCCACCACAGUCUCUCCUCCCGGCUCUAGGGCCCUAGAGAUCACAGGAGUGGAGCCCUGUGACCCCAGCCUCGAGCUCGGCUCCCUUUGCCUGGGGAGCUUCCAGGACCUGCCCCCGCCCUCCUCUGGACCUCAGCUUCACGAUCCGCAAAGGAAGCGGCCUGGCCGGAGCUGUGGGGUCCCUCAAGCGCGGCGCCUGAGGAUGCAGGGCGGGCUCCCUGGUCCCUCUGCAGAGGGGACCCUUAGAACCACGGAAAGCUGGGGGCUCACCCCUCAGGGGUGAUGAAGGCCUGCACCCGGCCCCCUCCCCAACUCUGCUCUGCUCCUGAAGGCAUAAAUCUAAGAAGGCUUUCACCAAGUACUGCAAGAAAUGGCAGGAUGAGGAUGGCAAGAAGCAGCUGGAGAAGGACUUCAGCAGCAUGAAGAAAUACUGCCAAGAAGCCUGCCACGGUGUGGAGUUGACCUAUGUGAUCUUGUGGGUAGGCUUCUCCCUUGCCAGGAGAGGGCACUGUGUCCUUACUGGUCCUUAGCAAGGGAGGCAUCCCCCUUUAAAAUUCAACUGCUUGACUCAACUGGUGACUCCCCAGUACACUGAAAUGCCUGACUGAAAGGUGCUGGCUGCUCUCCUUGAACCCUGGCUUGUGUGCUGAGCAGGCCCUUUAUCGACUCGGUUAGAGUAGGUGCCUCUGGCUGUCUGUUAUCCUGGCCAAUUUCCAGUGCUCAGUCCAGCCCCCUGUGGUGAGGGCCAUCACAGAUAACAGAGUGCCUGCCCACCUGCAGUUCUGUCAGGACGCUGCCAGGCUGUCCUGAAGCAAAAGCUUUAUGCUUAAAUGCAUUUUCUUACCCAGAGCUUGUGCUCUCAAAAAGCAGGCUUGUCACUAGGGCAAGUGUAAGUGGCUUUGGUAAAACCACUGCAAUAUGCCAAAGGAACUGACCAGAAGGACAGCCACAGGAGCACGGGGCUGGCAGGUGCCGGGAACUGGUUGUUUGCCUGUCGUGUGGGCCCCGUUGGCUCAUCCUGACAACUCAGGCACCAGAAGCCAAAAUGAAGUUGUUACUGUUGGCAGAAAUGGAAGUUCCUUCGUCUUGGUGAGGUUGAGUGACUUGUUGAGAGUUGGCUUCUUUUUGCCAUGUGCUUGGCAUCAGACGUGUGGAGCUGCAGUCCUCUACUGUGGGAGGAGCGCUGGCAGCUGGAGCUGAGCUGUGCCCACUUCCUCCUAGAUGCGCCUGCUUCCUCUGCGCCAGAAAAAGGCCCACCUGAUGGAGAUCCAGGUGAAUGGAGGCACCGUGUCCGAGAAGCUGGACUGGGCCCGCGAGAGGCUGGAGCAGCAGGUACCUGUGAACCAAGUGUUUGGGCAGGACGAGAUGAUUGACGUGAUCGGGGUGACCAAGGGCAAAGGCUACAGAGGGGUCACCAGUCGUUGGCACACCAAGAAGCCGCCCCGCAAGACCCACCGAGGCCUGCGCAAGGUGGCCUGUAUUGGGGCAUGGCAUCCUGCCCGUGUGGCCUUCUCUGUGGCACGUGCUGGGCAGAAAGGCUACCAUCACCGCACUGAGAUCAACAAGAAGAUCUAUAAGAUCGGCCAGGGCUACCUUAUCAAGGACGGCAAGCUGAUCAAGAACAAUGCCUCCACCGACUAUGACCUUCUGACAACAGCAUCAACCCUCUGGGUGGCUUUGUCCACUAUGGUGAAGUGACCAAUGACUCUGUCAUGCUGAAAGGCUGUGUGGUGGGAACCAAGAAGCGAGUGCUCACCCUCCGCAAGUCCUUGCUGGUGCAGACCAAGCGGCGGGCUCUGGAGAAAAUUGACCUUAAGUUCAUUGACAGCACCUCUAAGUUUGGCCAUGGCCGCUUCCAGACCAUGGAGGAGAAGAAAGCGUUCAUGGGACCACUCAAGAAAGACCCAAUUGCAAAGGAAGAAGGAGCUUAAUGCCAGGAACACAUUUUGCAGCUGGUGGGGUCUCAAUAAAAGUUACUUUCCACUGACAUCUGCUUGUUUCUCCAGGAGAGCAGCUGGGACUGGGGAGGCAGAUGG